rnacentral:rRNA from 1 species
AUUGAACGCUGGCGGCAGGCUUAACACAUGCAAGUCGAGCGGGGGAAGGUAGCUUGCUACCGGACCUAGCGGCGGACGGGUGAGUAAUGCUUAGGAAUCUGCCUAUUAGUGGGGGACAACAUCUCGAAAGGGAUGCUAAUACCGCAUACGUCCUACGGGAGAAAGCAGGGGAUCUUCGGACCUUGCGCUAAUAGAUGAGCCUAAGUCGGGUUAGCUAGUUGGUGGGGUAAAGGCAUACCAAGGCGACGAUCUGUAGCGGGUCUGAGAGGAUGAUCCGCCACGCUGGGACUGAGACACGGCCCAGACUCCUACGGGAGGCAGCAGUGGGGAAUAUUGGACAAUGGAGGGAACCCUGAUCCAGCCAUGCCGCGUGUGUGAAGAAGGCCUUAUGGUUGUAAAGCACUUUAAGCGAGGAGGAGGCUACUUUAGUUAAUACCUAGAGAUAGUGGACGUUACUCGCAGAAUAAGCACCGGCUAACUCUGUGCCAGCAGCCGCGGUAA